rnacentral:rRNA from 1 species
AUUGAACGCUGGCGGCAGGCCUAACACAUGCAAGUCGAGCGGAUGAAGGGAGCUUGCUCCUGGAUUCAGCGGCGGACGGGUGAGUAAUGCCUAGGAAUCUGCCUGGUAGUUGGGGAUAACGUCCGGAAACGGGCGCUAAUACCGCAUACGUCCUGAGGGAGAAAGGGGGGGAUCUUCGGACUUCACGCUAUCAGAUGAGCCUAGGUCGGAUUAGCUAGUUGGUGGGGUAAAGGCCUACCAAGGCGACGAUCCGUAACUGGUCUGAGAGGAUGAUCAGUCACACUGGAACUGAGACACGGUCCAGACUCCUACGGGAGGCAGCAGUGGGGAAUAUUGGACAAUGGGCGAAAGCCUGAUCCAGCCAUGCCGCGUGUGUGAAGAAGGUCUUCGGAUUGUAAAGCACUUUAAGUUGGGAGGAAGGGCAGUAAGUUAAUACCUUGCUGUUUUGACGUUACCAACAGAAUAAGCACCGGCUAACUUCGUG